rnacentral:rRNA from 1 species
AUUGAACGCUGGCGGCAUGCCUUACACAUGCAAGUCGAACGGCAGCACGGGAGCAAUCCUGGUGGCGAGUGGCGAACGGGUGAGUAAAGUAUCGGAACGUGCCUAGUCGUGGGGGAUAACGUAGCGAAAGUUACGCUAAUACCGCAUACGAUCUAUGGAUGAAAGCGGGGGAUCGCAAGACCUCGCGCGAUUGGAGCGGCCGAUAUCAGAUUAGGUCGUUGGUGGGGUAAAGGCGCACCAAGCCGACGAUCUGUAGCUGGUCUGAGCGGACGGGCGGCCACACUGGGGAUGAGACACUGCCCAGACUACUACGGGAGGCAGCAGUGUGUAAUUUGUGACAAUGGGCGAAAGCCUGUUCCAGCCAUGCCGCGUGCAGGAUGAGGGCCUUCGGGUUGUAAACUUCUUUUUUACGGGACGAAAAGGUUUGGCCUAAUAAGCUGAGCUCAUUACGUUACCGUAAGAAUAAGCACCGGCUAACUACGUUCCAGCCGCCGCCGUAA